rnacentral:rRNA from 1 species
CAGCAGCCACGGGAAUACGAAGGGUGCAAGCGUUACUCGGAAUUACUGGGCGUAAAGCGUGUGUAGGUGGUUGUUUAAGUCUGUCGUGAAAGCCCUGGGCUCAACCUGGGAAUUGCGAUGGAUACUGGGCGACUAGAGUGCGGUAGAGGAUAGUGGAAUUUCCGGUGUAGCAGUGAAAUGCGUAGAGAUCGGAAGGAACAUCUGUGGCGAAGGCGACUAUUUGGGCCAACACUGACACUGAGACACGAAAGCGUGGGGAGCAAACAGGAUUAGAUACCCCAGUAGUCCCUGUCUCUUAUAC